rnacentral:rRNA from 1 species
UACGUAGAGUGCGAGCGUUAAUCGGAAUUACUGGGCGUAAAGCGUGCGCAGGCGGUUUUGUAAGCCAGAUGUGAAAGCCCCGGGCUCAACCUGGGAAUGGCAUUUGGGACUGCAAGGCUGGAGUUUGGCAGAGGAGACUGGAAUUCCUGGUGUAGCAGUGAAAUGCGUAGAUAUCAGGAGGAAUACCGAUGGCGAAGGCAGGUCUCUGGGCUAUAACUGACGCUCAUGCACGAAAGCGUGGGGAGCAAACAGG